GAUGAACGCUGGCGGCGUGCCUAAUACAUGCAAGUCGAGCGAACAGACGAGGAGCUUGCUCCUCUGACGUUAGCGGCGGACGGGUGAGUAACACGUGGAUAACCUACCUAUAAGACUGGGAUAACUUCGGGAAACCGGAGCUAAUACCGGAUAAUAUAUUGAACCGCAUGGUUCAAUAGUUAAAGACGGUUUUGCUGUCACUUAUAGAUGGAUCCGCGCCGCAUUAGCUAGUUGGUAAGGUAACGGCUUACCAAGGCAACGAUGCGUAGCCGACCUGAGAGGGUGAUCGGCAACACUGGAAAUGAGACACGGUCCAGACUCCUACGGGAGGCAGCAGUAGGGAAUCUUCCGCAAUGGGCGAAAGCCUGACGGAGCAACGCCGCGUGAGUGAUGAAGGUCUUCGGAUCGUAAAACUCUGUUAUUAGGGAAGAACAAAUGUGUAAGUAACUAUGCACGUCUUGACGGUACCUAAUCAGAAAGCCACGGCUAACUACGUG
rnacentral:rRNA from 1 species